UACGUAGGGUGCGAGCGUUAAUCGGAAUUACUGGGCGUAAAGAGUGCGUAGGCGGUUAUUUGUGUCCGCUGUGAAAGCCCCGGGCUUAACCUGGGAAUGGCAGUGGAAACUAGAGAACUUGAAUCUGGCAGAGGGGGGUGGAAUGCCACGUGUAGCAGUGAAAUGCGUAGAUAUGUGGCGGAACACCGAUGGCGAAGGCAGCCCCCUGGGCUGAGAUUGACGCUCAGGCACGAAAGCGUGGGGAGCAAACAGG
rnacentral:rRNA from 1 species